UACGGAAGGCAGCAGUGGGGAAUAUUACACAAUGGGCGCAAGCCUGAUGCAGCCAUGCCGCGUGUAUGAAGAAGGCCUUCGGGUUGUAAAGUACUUUCAGUCGUGAGGAAGGUGUUAAGGUUAAUAACCUUAGCAAUUGACGUUAGCGACAGAAGAAGCACCGGCUAACUCCGUGCCAGCAGCCGCGGUAAUACGGAGGGUGCGAGCGUUAAUCGGAAUUACUGGGCGUAAAGGGCACGCAGGCGGUUAAUUAAGUUGGAUGUGAAAUCCCCGGGCUUAACCUGGGAAUGGCAUUCAAGACUGGUUAGCUAGAGUCUUGUAGAGGGGGUUAGAAUUCCAUGUGUAGCGGUGAAAUGCGUAGAGAUGUGGAGGAAUACCGGUGGCGAAGGCGGCCCCUGGACAAAGACUGACGCUCAUGUGCGAAAGCGUGGGGAGCAAACAGGGAUUAGAUACC
rnacentral:rRNA from 1 species